UACAGAGGUCCCAAGCGUUAUCCGGAGUCACUGGGCGUAAAGCGUGCGUAGGUGGCGUGUUAAGUGAGAUGUUAAAUCGUGUGGCUCAACCAUAUCGAUGUAUCUCAUACUGGCAUGCUAGAGGGAAGCAGAGGCAAGUGGAAUUUGUAGUGUAGCAGUGAAAUGCGUAGAUAUUACAAGGAACACCAAUGGCGAAGGCAGCUUGCUGGGCUUCUUCUGACACUGAGGUACGAAAGCGUGGGGAGCGAACAGG
rnacentral:rRNA from 1 species